UCCAGACUCCUACGGGAGGCAGCAGUAGGGAAUUUUGCGCAAUGGGCGAAAGCCUGACGCAGCAACACCGCGUGAAUGUUAAGCCCUUCGGGGUGUAAAGUUCUGUCAAUAGGGACGAAUUUUGACUGUACCUAUAAAGGAAGCACCGGCUAACUCCGUGCCAGCAGCCGCGGUAAUACGGGGGGUGCAAGCGUUGUCCGGAUUUACUGGGUGUAAAGGGAGCGUAGACGGUGAGACAAGUCUGAAGUGAAAGCCCGGGGCUCAACCCCGGGACUGCUUUGGAAACUGCCUGACUGGAGUGCUGGAGAGGCAAGCGGAAUUCCUAGUGUAGCGGUGAAAUGCGUAGAUAUUAGGAAGAACACCAGUGGCGAAGGCGGCUUGCUGGACAGUAACUGACGUUGAGGCUCGAAAGCGUGGGGAGCAAACAGGAUUAGAUACCCCUGUAA
rnacentral:rRNA from 1 species